CACGUAGGCACCAAGCGUUGUCCGGAUUUAUUGGGCGUAAAGAGCUCGUAGGCGGUUCGAUAAGUCGGGUGUGAAAACUUUGGGCUCAACCCAAAGCGUGCAUUCGAUACUGUUGUGACUAGAGUUCGGUAGGGGAGUGGGGAAUUCCAGGUGUAGCGGUGAAAUGCGUAGAGAUCUGGAGGAACACCGGUGGCGAAGGCGGCCCCCUGGUUCGAUACUGACGCUGAGGUGCGAAAGCGUGGGGAGCAAACAGG
rnacentral:rRNA from 1 species